rnacentral:rRNA from 1 species
CAGUCGCCGCGGGAAUGCGGAGGGUGCAAGCGUUAAUCGGAAUUACUGGGCGUAAAGCGUGCGCAGGCGGUAAUGUAAGACAGAUGUGAAAUCCCCGGGCUCAACCUGGGAACUGCAUUUGUGACUGCAUUGCUGGAGUGCGGCAGAGGGGGAUGGAAUUCCGCGUGUAGCAGUGAAAUGCGUAGAUAUGCGGAGGAACACCAGUGGCGAAGGCGGCUACCUGGACCAGCACUGACACUGAAGCACGAAAGCGUGGGGAGCAAACAGGAUUAGAGACCCGCGUAGUCCCUGUCUCUUAUAC